CCGCACGGGUGAGUAACGCGUAUGCAACCUACCUACUACAGGGGAAUAGCCCGAAGAAAUUCGGAUUAAUGCCGCAUAAUACAGGGGCACCGCAUGGUGAUAUUUGUUAAAAGAUUAAUUGGUAGUAGAUGGGCAUGCGUUCCAUUAGCCAGUUGGUGAGGUAACGGCUCACCAAAGCAACGAUGGAUAGGGGAACUGAGAGGUUUAUCCCCCACACUGGUACUGAGACACGGACCAG
rnacentral:rRNA from 1 species